AGAGUUUGAUCAUGGCUCAGGAUGAACGCUGGCGGUGUGCUUAAGGCAUGCAAGUCGAGCGAGAACUCCACUUCGGUGGAGGGACAGCGGCAGACGGGUGAGUAACGCGUAGGCAUCUACCCUAAAGAAGGGGAUAGCCCACCGAAAGGUGGUGUAAUACCCUAUAGUCCCAACUUCGUGUUGGGUAAAGCUCCGGCGCUUUAGGAGGAGCCUGCGUCCUAUCAGGUAGUUGGUGGGGUAAUAGCCUACCAAGCCUAUAACGGGUAGCCGAUGUGAGAGCAUGAUCGGCCACAAGGUCACUGAGACACGGGGCCUACACCUACGGGUGGCAGCAACCAGGAAUAUUGCGCAAUGGACGAAAGUCUGACGCAGCGACACCGCGUGUGGGACGACGCUCUGCGGAGUGUAAACCACUGUGGCAGGGGAUGAAUUUAUGACAGUACCCUGCUAGAAAGCACCAGCUAACUACGUGCCAGAAGCUUCGGUAAUACGUAGGGUGCAAGCGUUAUCCGGAUUUACUGGGCGUAAAGGGUCCGUCGGCGUUCUGGAAAGUUUCUUGUCCAAGCCUGAGGCUCAACUUCAGAAAGGCAAGGAAAACUACCAGAAUUGAGUUAGUUCGAGGCAGCUGGAAUUCUCUGUGGAGGGGUGAAAUCCGUAGAUAUAGAGAGGAACGCCAAUCGCGAAGGCAGGCUGCUAGGACUUAACUGACGCUCAGGGACGAAAGCUUGGGUAGCAAAAGGGAUUAGAGACCCCUGUAGUCCAAGCCGUAAACACUCCUUGCUAGUUGUUUUUCCCCUUGAGGGAAGAGUGACGUAAGCUAACGCGUUAAGCAAGGCGCCUGGGGAGUACGACCGCAAGGUUAAAACUCAAAGGAAUUGGCGGGGGAGCGCACAACCGGUGGAGCAUGUGGUUUAAUUCGAUACAAAGCGAAAAACAUUACCUGGGUUUGACAUCUAGCUGCACGGUCUGGGAAACCAGACAAGUCUUCGAGAGUGCUAGACAGGUGAUGCAUGGCUGUCGUCAGCUCGUGUCGUGAGACGUCCGCUUAAGUGCGGUAACGAGCGCAACCCUUGUCGUGUGUUAUACGUAUCACACGAGACUGCCCCCGAUACCUCGGGGGAGGAAGGAGAGGACGACGUCAAGUCAGCAUGUCCCUUACAUCCAGGGCUACACACAUUCUACAAUGGGACGGACAACGGGUAGCGACGCCGCGAGGCUGAGCCAAUCCUAAGAAACCGUCUCUCAGUUCGGAUUGCAGGCUGCAACUCGCCUGCAUGAAGCCGGAAUCGGUAGUAAUCGCAAAUCAUCACGUUGCGGUGAAUACGUUCUCGCUCCUUGCACACACUGCCCGUCAAGCCAGCAAAGUCGGCAACGCCCGAAGCGGGUGACCGUAACUCUUUAUUGAGAGCGGCCCUUCUACGGUGAGGUCGGCGAUGAGGACUAAGUCGUAACAAGGUAGCCGUA
rnacentral:rRNA from 1 species